GACGAACGCUGGCGGCGUGCUUAACGCAUGCAAGUCGAACGGAAAGGCCCUGCUUUUGUGGGGUGCUCGAGUGGCGAACGGGUGAGUAACACGUGAGUAACCUGCCCUUGACUUUGGGAUAACUUCAGGAAACUGGGGCUAAUACCGGAUAGGAGCUCCUGCUGCAUGGUGGGGGUUGGACAGUUUCGGCGGUUGGGGAUGGACUCGCGGCUUAUCAGCUUGUUGGUGGGGUAGUGGCUUACCAAGGCUUUGACGGGUAGCCGGCCUGAGAGGGUGACCGGCCACAUUGGGACUGAGAUACGGCCCAGACUCCUACGGGAGGCAGCAGUGGGGAAUAUUGCACAAUGGGCGGAAGCCUGAUGCAGCAACGCCGCGUGCGGGAUGACGGCCUUCGGGUUGUAAACCGCUUUCGCCUGUGACGAAGCGUGAGUGACGGUAAUGGGUAAAGAAGCACCGGCUAACUACGUG
rnacentral:rRNA from 1 species